UUAUGGCCAUAUCACAUUGUAACACCAGUUUCCAUACGAUCACUGAAGUUUAACAAAGUCAAGUCUGGUCAGUAUGUAGAUGGGUGACUACUUGGGAAUACCAGGUGGUGUAA